ensembl:lncRNA
AACUAUGGCUUUGAGGAGCACUGUAGGCACUUGAAGCAUCGGUGUUGGAGCCAUUGGAUGUUAUGGUGCUUCCAGAGGCCUGCUGGUUCACAGUUAAGGCAGGGACAGAGCUCAGCCAUUGGACACCAUGCUGUUUAUGCAAACCAUCAUAAAGAUUGGAAAGGCUGUGGGAUGACCCAUAGGCAGUUGCACUUUGGCUUUGGGAACCAGUGUAGGAACUUGAUAGACUGGAGGUGGAGGAGCCAUUAGCUGUUGUGGCACCUCCACUUGCCUGCUGAGUUCCAGUUAAUGCAAGGGCAGAGCUCAGUUGAUUUGUGCCUUGCUGUGUCUGGAAACUACCAUAGGGUCUGGAAAGUCCUAGUGAAGGCCAAUUGGAAGACGGGCUUUGAGAACCAGUGAAGGAGCUCGAUGAGCUGGAGGAGCCAUUAGCUGUUGCGGCAGCUUCAGUUGUCUGCCGAUUU